CAAUCGCGCCCUGCUCAACCAUUGGGUUAUGAAUCGUGGGCUGAGCGCUUCAGUUGGUCAGAAAUAGCAGGAAAAUCUUAACGAAGUUACUGGUGCCCAGGAAAAGAUCUCAGGAAAUUCAGAGCUGCUGUUGCUUCACGCAUCAGAAAUGCACGAUGCAGCAACCUUGGCG